AGGAUAGUACUAUCUGGGUUUUGCAGGCGUCUUCCCUGGGAAGGGACCCUUUGGAACUGCAGUCCGGAGGGCCUGCUUUCAGCAGCUUGAUAACGCGCCUCGGGGAUUGGACAUGAAUCAUGGUCUCCCUGUUCCCUGGCUGCCUUGAGAGAGCAGAAGAGGGAAAUUGUUAAUCAUUAAACCUAAACGCCCUAGAUGGAAUCCGCGUCUCAUAUACGGGCUCUUUGAAUAACUCUAAGCCGGGGGUUAGCAAAAUGUGGUCGGUCCCUGGAGCCACUGUAUCAACUCACCUGGAACUUGUUAGAAUGAAAAUCCUGCUCACGCCUGUAAUCCCAGCACUUUGGGAGGCCGAGGCGGGCGGAUCGCCUGAGGUCAGGAGUUCCAGACCAGCCUGACCAGUAUGAUGAAACCCCGUCUCUACUAAAAAUACAAAAAUUAGCCGGGCGUGGUGGCAGGCGCCUGUAAUCCCAGCUACUGAGGAGGCUGAGACAGGAGAAUCGCUUGAACCCGGGAGGUGGAGGUUGCAGUAAACCGAGAUCGAGCCAUUGCGCUCCAGCCUGGGCAAUAAGAGCGAAAUUCCGUAUCAAAAAAAAAUUUUCUUUUUUAAAAUAACCUUAGUUUAUGCCUUGGUGUUCCAAAAAGCCUUUUUACAUUGUAUAACAAAGUAGCCAAAAUUCUAUUUGUUCACUCCUUUCUCCUUUCCUACCGGACAUGUCCUUGAGAGAUUGAGAAAGUAUCAGAAAGGACAUUUCAUUGAGAGAUUGAGAAAGUAUCAGUUACUGGCUUUUCUUAGGUUUUUGUUUUUUGGUUUGGGGGGUUGUUUUUUUGUUUUGUUUUUGUGUUUUUUGAGACAGGGUCUCACUCUGUCACCCAGGCUGGAGUGGGGCGCAAUCACGGCUUACUGCAGCUUUGGCCUCCUGGGCUCAAGCAAUUCUCCCGUCUCAGCCUACCAAGUGGCUGGGACUACAGGCGUGCGCCACCACACCCGGCUAAUUUUUGUAUUUUUUGUAGAGACAGGGUCUCACCACGUUUCCCAGGCAGGUCUUGAAGUUCUGGGAUCAAGCAAUCUACCUGCCUGGAACUCCCAAAAUGCUGGAAUUACAGACAUGAGCCACCGUGCCUGGCUUCUUUUCAUGCCUGUAGUACCAAUUCCGUGUCCUUGCACUGUGAAGUCCUUUCCAAGCUCUGCAAUUCUAGUUCAGUAUUAAAGAACAAGGGCUCUGGAGGAAGUACACUUGAGUUGGAAUUCCAGCUCUGCCACUUACUGUCUGUGUAACUGUGGGCAAAUUACUUAACCUCUCUGAGCUUAGUUUCUUUGUUGGUAAAGCAGGGCUAAUAAUAUCAAAUUCACUGGAUAAUUGGGGAAAUUACCAGAGAUGAUGACGAUAAGAAGCUUGGUAUAUACAGGAUGUUAGUGGGACAGUUGAUGAAAUCAGAAUUAGACUUGUAGGUUAGAUUAGUACCAUGCAUCAAUGUUAAUUUCCUUUUUGGGGGGGUGGGGGGACAGAGUCUCACUCUGUCACCCAGGCUGGAGUGCAGUGGCACAAUCUCGGCUCACUGCAACCUCCGCCUCCCAGGUUCAAGUGAUUCUCCCACCUCAGCCUCCAAAGUAGCUGGGAUUACAGGCACCCACCACUAGGCUUGGCUAAUUUUUGUAUUUUUAGUAGAGAUGGGGUAUCACCAUGUUAGCCAGGCUGGUCUGGAGCUCUUGACCUCAAGUGAUUUGCCCACCUCGGCCUCCCAAAGUGCUGGGAUUACAGGCAUGAGCCACUGUGCCCGGCCGCAUCAAUGUUAACUUUCUGAUUUUGAUAAUGGUACACGGUCUAAAUAUUAAAUAAUAGUUUUGUAUUAGUGUAUUGAUUUGGGUAACGGUAAUGGUAAUUUUGGUAAUGGUUAUAUAAAAGAACAUCCUUGUUUUUUAGGAAACAAAAGGGCAUCAUCUUUGCAACUGAUUCUCAAACAGUUCACAAAAAAAAAUGGAGAGAGAGAGAAAGAGAGAGAGAGAGAGGGAGAGAAAUGGUAUUCCAGGCAUGAAAAGAACGUGAGAAAGAAAAGCAAAUGUGGUAAAAUGUUAACAUUUGGAAAAUCAAUGAAGGAAUUAUUUUUACUCUUUUUUUCAACUUUUUGUUUCUAAGCCUGAAAUUAUUGCAGAACGAAGUUUAAAAACAAAACAAAACAAAAAUCCUUAACACAUGGCAGAUUCAACUUCUUCUACCUUCUUUCCUACUCUGUACACUCAGGGUUAUCAUAUGCAAUAGGUAUUUUUAACUGAACUGAGGUAGAAAGGGUUUAGAGCAGGAGUUGGCAAACUAAGGGCAGAGGAUCAAAUCUGGCCUGCUGCCUGUUUUUCUUUUUCUUUUUAAAAUUCUUUUUACUAAGAAUCGGCACAAUUUGCUGCCAGUUUUUCUAUGGCCUGCCACCUAAAAAUGGUUUUUACAUUUUUAAAUGAAUGAAAAAAAAUCAAAAGAAUAAUAUUUUAUGACAUUUGAAAAUGUUGUAAGUUUCCUGUGUCAGUGUCCAUAAAUAAAGUUUUGUGGGGUUGGUUUUUGUUUUUUUUGUUUUGUUUUGUUUUUUUAGACACAGUCUUGCUCUGUCACCCAGGCUGGAGUGCAGUGGUGCAAUCAUAGCUCACAGCAGCCUUGAACUC
rnacentral:lncRNA from 10 species